rnacentral:rRNA from 1 species
CCUACGGGAGGCAGCAGUGGGGGAUAUUGCACAAUGGGGGGAACCCUGAUGCAGCGACGCCGCGGGGGUGAAGGAGCGUUUCGGCGCGUAAAGCCCUAUCGGCAGGGAAGAAGAUGACGGUACCUGACCAAGAAGCCCCGGCUAACUACGAGCCAGCAGCCGCGGUCAUACGUAGGGGGCAAGCGUUAUCCGGAUGUACUGGGUGUCAAGGGGGCGCAGACGGCAAUGCAAGCCAGGGGUGAAAGCCCGGGGCCCAACCCCGGGACUGCUCUUGGAACUGCAUGGCUGGAGUACAGGAGGGGCAGGCGGAAGUCCUGGGGUAGCGGUGAGAUGCGUCGAUAUUAGGAGG